AAUCAACGCUGGCGGCGUGCCUCAGACAUGCAAGUCGAACGCGAAAGUUUCCUUCGGGAGAUGAGUAGAGUGGCGCACAGGUGAGUAACACGUGAGUAAUUUACCUUCGGGUGGGGAAGUACUAACCGGAGACGGUUGUUAAUACCGCAUAAUGCAGCGGCAUCAAUGAUGACAGUUGUUAAAGCGGGGGAUUGGAGCAAUCCGACCUCGCGCCUGAAGAGAAGCUCGCGGCAGAUUAGCUAGUUGGUAAGGUAAUGGCUUACCAAGGCGACGAUCUGUAACCGGCCUGAGAGGGCGGUCGGUCACACUGACACUGAAUAACGGGUCAGACUCCUACGGGAGGCAGCAGUCGGGAAUUUUGGGCAAUGGGCGCAAGCCUGACCCAGCAACGCCGCGUGAAGGAUGAAGCUUUUUCGGAGUGUAAACUUCACAAGAAUGGGAAGAAUAAGUUUGGGAUACACCCUGAACGAUGACGGUACUAUUUGUAAGCUCCGGCUAACUUCGU
rnacentral:rRNA from 1 species